rnacentral:rRNA from 1 species
AUUGAACGCUGGCGGCAUGCUUUACACAUGCAAGUCGAACGGUAACAGGCCGCAAGGUGCUGACGAGUGGCGAACGGGUGAGUAAUGCAUCGGAACGUGCCCAGUCGUGGGGGAUAACGCAGCGAAAGCUGCGCUAAUACCGCACACGAUCUAUGGAUGAAAGCGGGGGACCGUAAGGCCUCGCGCGAUUGGAGCGGCCGAUGUCAGAUUAGGUAGUUGGUGGGGUAAAGGCUCACCAAGCCGACGAUCUGUAGCGGGUCUGAGAGGACGACCAGCCACACUGGGACUGAGACACGGCCCAGACUCCUACGGGAGGCAGCAGUGGGGAAUUUUGGACAAUGGGCGCAAGCCUGAUCCAGCAAUGCCGCGUGCAGGAAGAAGGCCUUCGGGUUGUAAACUGCUUUUGUACGGAACGAAAAGGCUCUGGUUAAUACCCGGGGCUCAUGACGGUACCGUAAGAAUAAGCACCGGCUAACUACGUGCCAGCAGCCGCGGUAAAAC